rnacentral:misc_RNA from 1 species
GUCUUUGUUCCUCAAUAAGGGUUAAAUUAUAAUACCGGAGUGGAGAUUCAGGGCUUGUACCGCUGGUUGGUAAUAUUUAUUCUGCUCACAAGCCACAAAUAGCCUUAAUCCCAGGAAGUACAAUAGAUCAUUAGGGCUUUAAGUAAUUACAUACAGGGAUUAACAAUAUAUACACAAUUGCAAAAAUAAAGUUGAAAAUCCCCAAA